AUUGAACGCUGGCGGCAGGCUUAACACAUGCAAGUCCAGCGGAGUGAUGGUGCUUGCACUAUCACUUAGCGGCGGACGGGUGAGUAAUGCUUAGGAAUCUGCCUAUUAGUGGGGGACAACAUCUCGAAAGGGAUGCUAAUACCGCAUACGUCCUACGGGAGAAAGCAGGGGAUCACUUGUGACCUUGCGCUAAUAGAUGAGCCUAAGUCGGAUUAGCUAGUUGGUGGGGUAAAGGCCUACCAAGGCGACGAUCUGUAGCGGGUCUGAGAGGAUGAUCCGCCACACUGGGACUGAGACACGGCCCAGACUCCUACGGGAGGCAGCAGUGGGGAAUAUUGGACAAUGGGGGGAACCCUGAUCCAGCCAUGCCGCGUGUGUGAAGAAGGCCUUAUGGUUGUAAAGCACUUUAAGCGAGGAGGAGGCUCUUUUGGUUAAUACCCAGAAUGAGUGGACGUUACUCGCAGAAUAAGCACCGGCUAACUCUGUGCCAGCCGCCGCAGUAA
rnacentral:rRNA from 1 species